rnacentral:SRP_RNA from 14 species
CCGCUGCGCCGGGGCCACAGCCUUUUGGGAGCAGGGGCACCGCCCAGCCGUUCGUGCUCAUGGGGUUCGGGAGCGGUCGCCCCUCGUCCGUCUUGGCUAGUUGCACGGACGACCUGUUCGCGGAGGAGGAGGACGUUCCAUGUUUGCCGC